UACAGAGGUCUCAAGCGUUGUUCGGAUUCAUUGGGCGUAAAGCGCGUUCAGGCGGUUGGGCAAGUCGGGCAUGAAAUCUCUGGGCUCAACCUGGAGAGGUUGUCCGAUACUGCCGAACUGGAGGGCAGUAGAGGGUGGUGGAAUUCCGGGUGUAGUGGUGAAAUGCGUAGAGAUCCGGAGGAACACCAGUGGCGAAAGCGGCCACCUGGACUGCACCUGACGCUGAAGCACGAAGGCCAGGGGAGCAAACGGG
rnacentral:rRNA from 1 species